GCUGGCGGCGUGCCUAACACAUGCAAGUCGAACGGGACCGGGGGCAACUUCGGUUCAGUGGCGGACGGGUGCGUAACACGUGAGGAACAUGACCUUCGGCGGGGGAUAGCCGGCCCAACGGCCGGGUAAUACCGCGUACGACCGUUCGGGGACAUCCCUGGAUGGUGAAAGCAGCAAUGCGCCGAUGGAGUGCCUCGCGGCCUAUCAGCUAGUUGGUGGGGUAACGGCCUACCAAGGCAACGACGGGUAGCUGGUCUGAGAGGAUGGCCAGCCACAUUGGGACUGAGACACGGCCCAGACUCCUACGGGAGGCAGCAGUGGGGAAUAUUGCGCAAUGGACGAAAGUCUGACGCAGCGACGCCGCGUGUGGGAUGAAGGUCUUCGGAUUGUAAACCACUGUCGGGAGGGACGAAUACGCCGCAAGGCGGGUGACGGUACCUCCAAAGGAAGCACCGGCUAACUCCGUGCCAGCAGCCGCGGUAAUACGGAGGGUGCGAGCGUUGUCCGGAAUCACUGGGCGUAAAGGGCGCGUAGGCGGCCUGAUAAGUAGGGGGUGAAAUCCUGCGGCUUAACCGCAGGGCUGCCUUCUAAACUGUCAGGCUCGAGCACAGUAGAGGCAGGUG
rnacentral:rRNA from 1 species